rnacentral:lncRNA from 1 species
UUGUAAGUAUCAAUGUCUCUGAUUCAUUUUUUGGUUCCUAGAAUCGAAUCCUCGCUCUGUUCUUGCUUAAUUUCUCCUUUUUCUGUUGGGUCUUUCACUGCAGGUUUAGCUCUGCACGGGAACUGGCAAAUUUGGUGCUGAGCUCCAAUCUAAUCGACUGUGCUUUCACCAAAAUUCUUGAACUUAAGAGAGGCCAAACAGCCUUGCCUGUUCAAUACAGACUUUAUCAACUGUCUUCCAAGUGCACAAUUGUAGCUUUUGUCUCUUCACCUGACUGCACUCAAUACCCUCUUCCUGGACAAGGAGAUUUAGAUCGGUCUCCUCUCUUUGACUUCCUCCGUACCGAAGAAUACCCGUCCGUCUCCAUUAACAGAGCAGCAUUAGCCCUCUUUACCCCUCUCCAUGAUCAUCUCUCUGGACUAACAGAUGAGGUCAAAAUCUGAUACUUGUUUGAAUUUUCGUUUCCUUUUCGUUAACAAUUGUGAGACACGAAACAGCUUGACCAUGAGAUCUCCCUCAUGGAGUCGAACUACCUGAAGGAUAAGACGUCACACAUAUCCAUUUUCAUGGCAUCGUCACAUGACCCAUUGAUCGGUUGUGAUUCAACUCUUAAUAGGAACACAGUAGAACUGGUGUUGGUAUCUGUCUUUAGAUCAGCUUGCAUAUAUCUUGUCACUGAAAAAGGAAUGUUCAGAAGUGAGAUUAGUGGCAUUAUUCUGACAUGGAUUUCAUAUGGUUACUUGUUUUGCAGUUGACUCAGAUUGAAGGUCAGUUAAUCAUCACUGGGCACUCCCUGGGAGGAUCCGUUGCUUCUCUCUUCACCUUACGCCUGCUAGAUGGCAAUUUAUUAAAACCCAAAUGCCGCCCCUUUUGUAUCACCUUUGGUUCACCCCUUAUAGGCGACUUUGGCCUCCAACACUCCAUAUGGAAUUCUUUCUUCCUGCAUGUAGUGUCUAACCAAGACCCAGUCCCCGGACUCUUCCUCCCAUCCGGCAGAUCUCCGCUCACAUCCUCCCAUUCACAAACUACCGGUUACAAGCCCUUUGGGACAUAUCUCUUGUGCUCUGAACUUGGUUGUGCUUGUUUUGACAACCCUGAUUUAAUUUUGGGAUUGCUUAAAGUCAUAUCAUCAGAGGUUGCCGGAGGAUUGCAGGAUGUUGACUAUGGGGAGAUUUUAAGAAACCUCAAGGAGAGGGCAAUCUGCAAGGGACUGCCGCAGGUGGGUGAACGGUUUGCAGAUCCAUUUUCAGCUGGGAUCAUCAUGGAACUUGAGACAAUUGGAUUUAAUCAAACAAAGGUAAACAGCUUUCUCCCAUCUAAUGAUGUUAUGAAACAUGGUUUACACUACACCAAAUACUGCAAUAACUUCCCUAUUCAGAUUUAUCUUCUUGUUCUUUGGGAUCUUCCAUAACUCGUCUCAUUUUUAAAAUUCAUGGCAGCUGCUGCAGCAUAACAUUGAUAUCAAUGCUAUGAUAAGAACAAUGGAAGCGGAAACCAGAAGACUAAUCCAGAAAAAUAAAGUUUCCGAUGCCAAGAAACUGAAUGACAUAAAAAGAGACAUGGCCCAGCUAGAAUGGUAUAAGAAGAAAUCGGAAAUGGGUUACUACGAUUGCUUCAAAAACCAGGGGUCUAAAAGGGACCUCAACGUUGAACAGUUUAGGGGAAACCUCACAAUGUACUGGGAAGACAUGGUUGCACAAGUACAGAGGAAGCCCCAGGAGGAAGGAGCAACAUUUCGAACCCGUUGGUUCUAUGCAGGGACAGUUUAUAGGAGAAUGGUUGAACCACUGGACAUUGCUGCCUUCUAUAGAGAGGGUGGAACAGACUACAUAAACAAUGGAAGAUCUCUUCAUUACAAGCUGUUGCAGCAAUGGUAUGAAGAAGAUGUGAAACCCCCCUCUAGAGAUAAGCUUGAUUCCAAGAAGCAAAAGGUGUCUGGUAUCCUAACUGAGGAUUCUUUGUUUUGGGCACAUGUGGAGGAGGCCAUCUUGUCAUGCGAAUUGCUCAAGAGUAAAAACUGUACUCUUGAGCAGGGAAAAUCAUCAUGGGAUAAUCUAGUUAAGUUCGAGGAGUAUGUAAUGGAACAGAUUAACAACUAUGCAGCGUCCCCUGAGAUUUUCUUGCGGGAAAGCAGCUUCAUGAAAUGGUGGGGACUGUAUGAGGGCUACAUAGAUACUUGCAGUAAUUCCCAUGGGUCGCAAUUGAUCAACUUCAUGAAGAAACGUAGCUAUAUGAAGUAUGGUUAGAGGGGCAAUCCAGUUUGUGUGUUGUGUUUAUUGUUUUGUGAGCGUUCAAUGGAUAAAACUAGAAAGAGUGUGACCUUUUUCCCUUUUUCUUGGUUGCUGCCCAUAUUCUCAGCACUAUUUUCUUCCUUCUUUUCCUCUGUUUUUUUUGAUAGGAAAUGAAUAUUAUGAUGUUGCUGGGAUGCACUUNNNNNNNNNNNNNNNNNNNNNNNNNNNNNNNNNNNNNNNNNNNNNNNNNNNNNNNNNNNNNNNNNNNNNNNNNNNNNNNNNNNNNNNNNNNNNNNNNNNNAGGGGAAGAAAAACAUGUUUGUUUAGAUUCAACUCCACCAAAACUUGCAACAACUUCCCAUUGAAAAUUUCCUUUUAAGCUUCUGACUGACAUAAAACUAGAUAUGUUCCAGCUAGAACGGUACAAGAAAGAAAUCAAAAGAUGAGCACAAGUAGAGAGGAAGCCUCACCAGGAAGGGGCAGCUUUGCAAACCCUCUGGCUCUGUACAGGAACGAAUUAUAGAAAGAUGGUUGAACCACUUGACAUUGCUGCCUACCACAGAGAGGGUGGAAGACACUACAUAACCAAUGGAGGAUCUAAACAUUACACGCUAUUGGAGCAAUGAUGCAAUGAAGAGGAGAAGGGGGCUUUGUCUUCUCAUGCAAAUUGCUCUCAGAGCUCAGAACCUACUCCUGAAGGGAAAGAAUCAUCAUGGAGUGAUCUGGUUAAGUUUGAGGAUUUAUUUAUAUAAUUGAACUGAUUGGAAGCUAUGCAGUGUCGGCCCCCGCCCGAGCAGCUUCAUGAAACGGUGGAAAGAGUUGGAAGAAGUCAUAGAUACUUGCUAUAGGAGCUUCAUGAAGUAUGGAGAGGUGUGGCAUAGAUACUUGCAGUCUCUGAAUUUCCCAAAUCCAAUUUCAGAUUGUGUUUUUAGAUUCGUGGAACUUGUUUUCGGGCUUUUUGUUAGGUACAAUUGAGAUGGGCUGAACCGAAAGGCCCGCCAGGAUGAACAAUAUAAUGGGCCUGAAUUUUAAACCAGUGGAUGGGUUUUGUACUGGAUUCAGCUGUCUGAGCCCAAUGAGUAUUGAAUGUGUUUCUGUAUAAAAUUAAAUUUUUAACAUUGAAAUAUAAGGACUUACUUAAAAACACAUUUGGUAACUUUUUUUUUUUUUGGUUAAUAAUAAAUUUUUUUAAAAAAAAUUAAAAAUAUAUAAUUUUUUUAGAAUAAAUUUGAGGCAUGUUUAGGUAUUUUUUGUGGUAAAGAGUUUUGAGAAGCAAUGAGAAAUAUACAGAAUACUUUAAAAACUUUUGCAUAAGUAAGAUACUUACACGAGGCUUUUAUGAAAAAUAAAUCGAUAAAAACAAUUUUUAUAUUUGAAUUUCAAAACAUAAAACAACUUAGAACUGUUUUUAAAAACUGUUCUUAAAAAUAGUUUUCUAUUAACUCACAUUCAAGGAUGCUUUUAUCUUUUAUUUUUCUAUGUUUCAUCCUUGCAUAAAUGGAGUACAAAGUCGUAAGUUAAUCUAAUUAACAAAUAUAGAUAAUCAUCCGAUAAAUGAGUAAAUUAGGUGAUGAUCUCUUUAUAUAUGCAAGUAAUGGAAUGAAUGUGAUAAAAAAAUAAAAUAAAAAAGUAAGGGGAGAAAUGUUGUAAAUAAAAUGUUUUUAUUGUGGUUCAACGACCUAUCCACUUCCACACCUUGACAUAUUUCACAAUUUUAAAAGUUUUUUUAAUCAUGAUUCUCCUUAUUGUUCUUUAAGUCUGGAUUUCUUAAGUUUCAAUAGACUUUUACAAUCACUAAGAUGACGUUUGUUUUUUCACUUAAUUCUAAAUAUAAGUUAAAACUAAAUAAUAUUUAAUAAUAUCAAGUAUUAGGUUGUUUUUUUUAUAACAUUUUAUUUCUAUAUAAUAUUAAAAAGUAAAGAAAAAUCAGUAUGUUUUUUUUUUAUUUAAAAAAAGUCAAAUAUUUUGACUUUUUUUUAAGCUAAAAAUUUAUAAUAAAAAAUAAAAAAUAAACAAACAAACAAACAACUUGAAGUGUAAAAACAGAUUGUUUUCAAUAAAAAUUUUAAAAAAUAAACACCUUAUAAAUAAAAUUCCUUAACCACUCGUACAAUAGCUUCUUUAAGCACAAAAUGUAUUGAAGCGCUCACAAUGAAAAGAUAAACAAGUUUGGAUUUAAUAUAAUUUUGGGUUAUCUAAUUAAAAAGGUGUAGACCCCCGGAGGCAGACAGUUUUUUUAGUUAUUAUUAUUAUUUGUUUAUUUUUAAUUUUUCCUACCUUUUUCUUCCCAAGCCGCUCGACAUGAUGGGACUAAAGUGGGCUGGUUUUUGGGGCAGAGAGGGGACUCAAGUGGGCGUUUUUUUUUUUUUUUGGGCGGCAGAUGGGAUGGUGUACGGGGGAUGGCUUGUGGAGGAAGACUCAAAACAGGGGAAGGAAGCGAAAGAAAGGCAGGAAAAAAAGUGUUGGAGGACGGGGGGGAUACCUUGCUCAAGGAGAAAACUUUCAGGUAAAAUUUUCUGUGAACUCCAUGUUUCUUCGUUAUGACAUUAUUGUGCUCACUUCUUUUGUUGAUUCCAGGAUGUGAUUUGUUGGUCGGUUUGGAUGUCAUGGAUUAUUGGUUUAUUUUUGCUGAAUUUAUCCGUGUGCGGAGGUGCUCUGUUUGACUCUAUUCUGGUUUCCCUAACUCCUUCCAUAAGCACCUGAAUGUAUGAAUUCAUCCCUGAGCCCGAUUAUAUAAAAAUCAUGCUUUGUUCCCUGUGGUUUCUUCCCUCUGUUUGUUGCUCUAUUCCUUGUUGGUUGUGGGAAUGAGGUCAUCGAUGGCCAGGUUAUCGAAACUGGGGAAGUGACUUCGUGAACGGAUCACCUUCUAUGCACCCAUCUCAUCUUUCUCAUUCACUCAUCACGGCUACACUUCCAUGAUUACACCAUCCUCAGUCAAAUACAUAUCUCCAUACCCAUUUUUCACCUUUCCCGUACCUUCCUCACCUAUCCAUCACACCCAUCGUCAUAUCUAGUUCAUCACUAACCCAUUUUCCUCUCGCCAGCCGUGGUUAUGCUUCGUCCAUCUCAUGCAUACGAUCCCUCACUACUAUUCCUAUAUUCUCAUCCUUCCAAACUCCUCAACACAACACCUAACCCUCAUACCUGCACCCCGCCAUGCCCGCGCCUAGCUCACCCCCAUAGGAACCUCAAAGCCGUUCGCCUACUUGCAUGGGAGCCAUGCAUGCCGCCCCUCCCCGCGUCUUCCUGCACCGGCUAUGUGCGCGCCUGCACCAGCCACCAAUGGCGGCAGCGCCUUCUGGACGUCGCCAGGCCGCUGCCACCUGCUCCGGCAACGCGCGCGCCUGCACCAGCAGCCAUGGCGGCGGCACCUUCUGAACGUCACCAGACCGCCGCCACGGCUCCCCUCUUCCCCGCGCCGCCGCUGCUCCUCUUUUCCCCGCGCCGCCAUGGCUCUCCUCUUCAUCGUGCCGCCGGUGGAGUCUUCGCGGGUGGAGAGGCAAUUGGUGAAGAGAAGCUUUGCCCAUGAUGGUUUUUGGGCUUGGGUUUGAACUGGGAACCCAGGCCCAAGCCUAUGAAGAGAAGCCCAGGUUUAUGAAGGCUUUAAUUGCCUUGGGCUUGCCCAUUAAUAUCAUAUGGAUUGGGCUUGAUGAGGAUGGGGCUUAUUGGUGGAUUUGGGCUUGACUAGGUUUGGGCUUUAUUAGGGUUGCUGAUGGACUGGGUUUGGGCUCUAUUAUUAUUAUUAAUUCAACAUUUAAAAUACUAUUAUUAUCAUUGUUAUUAAUCAAACUUUUAAAAAUCUUAUUAUUACUAUUAUUAUUAUUACGUUUAUCAUUAUUAUUAUUUCUAUUCAACAUUUAAAAUAUUAUUAUCAUUAUUAUUAUUAAUUCAACAUUUAAAAUAUUAUUAUUAUCACUAUCAUUAAUCCAAACUUUCAAAACCCUAUAAUUAUUAUUACUAACCCAAAUUUCAAAAUCUAUUUAUUUAUUAUUAUUUAUUAUUAUCAUUAAUCCAAAUUUCAAAAUCUAUUUAUUAUUGUUAUCCUUAUCAUUAAACCCAACCUCCAAAAUCUCAUCAUUAUCAUUAUUAUUAAUUCAAACUUUCAACACCUAUUUAUUAUUAUUUAUUAUUAUCAUCAGUCCAAACCUCCAAGAUCUCAUCAUUAUUAUUAUAAUUAACUCAACUUUCAAAAUUUAUUUAUUAUUAUUAUCAUCAUUAAUCCAAGCUUUCAAAAAUCUCAUCAUUAUUGUUAUUAUUACCUCAACUUUCAAAAUCUUAUUUUUAUUAUUAUCAUUGAUUAAAACUUUCAAAACCUUAUUAUUAUUAUUAAUUCAAACUUUCUAACUUCCAAUUUCCAAGCCCAAUUUAUAAAAAUUCAACCUUCAAAUGAUACUCCAAAAUUCCGAUCUUUAAAACUCAAUUUCGAUUUCCGAAAAUUCUCAUACUCACUUUAAUCUAUUUAAUUAUUGUUAUUUUGAUUAUUUAUUUCAAAACCCCAUUUCAAAUCAAAUUCUCUAAAACUUCUGAUUCUCGAAUUAAAUUCCUAAUCCCAAAAAUUCUCAUGUUCGCACUAAAUUAUUUGAUCAUUGAUAUUUUAUUUAUUUAUUUAUUUCAAAACUCCAUUUUAAAUCAAAUUCUCUAAAACUUCUGAUUUCCGAAUUAAACUCCUAAUCCCAAAAAUUCUCAUGUUCUCAUUAAUUUAUUUAAUCAUUAGUAUUUUAUCUCCAUUUUAAAUCAACUCUUUAAAACUUCAGAUUUACAAAUUAAAUUCCUAAUCUUGAAAAUUCCCAUAUUCACAUUAAUUUAAUCACUAAUAGUUUGUUUAUUUAUCUUAAAAUUCUAUUUUAAACAAUUCUUUAAACUUUCUAACUUCUAAAUCUAAUUUCCAAUUUCAAAAAUUCCAGCAUUCCAUUCAUUUAUUUAAUCAUUAUUUUCGUCCUUAUUAUUAUUAGUCCAUUUAUUUACUUCAAAAUUUCAUUUUUAAACAUUUUUUUGAAUCCCAAUUUUCGAACUUAAUUUCCAAUUUCUAAAAUUCUAAUUUCCUUCAAGUUUGACAUCCCAAAAUUCCAACUCUUAAAUUUAAUUCUCAAGACUCCAAUCUUCAAAUAAUUUUCGAGACUCCAAUUUCCAAAUAAAUUUCAAAAAUUCAAUUUUCUCUCUAACAGUUUUAAUUCUCUUCGGGUUUCAAAUAAUCUUCGAUUUCUCUUGAUUUUAUAUAAACAUGAAUGCUAUUUUCAUAAUUCCAGAAUAAUGGGAUUUGUGAUAUUAAUUCCUGCAAAAAUGAAUGGGCUUUGGUGGGGGCCCAACAUACGUGCUUUCCUCAUGAUUGAUUGAUUGUUUGAUUGAUUUAAUUGCCAUGCGUGCUUGAUUUUAUUCUGCUCUAUGGCAUGCCCGAAAUUAUCCUUUAAUUGUGCACUAACCUCACUUUUUGAUAAGCGCAUUGUGGCUCGUCACCCAGGUACGUAUCUAUCCCCAUUCUGAUAUUUCCAUAUACAUGUUUUGAUUCUCCUAUGUGCAUGAUAGUUCCGGGUAUUCAUUGUUUUUCCUCAUCAAUUGCCAUGAUUGCUUCAUUUUAUUAGUAGAGACCCAUUUAGGGACUUAGAGGGGUGCUACGGUUCAUACCGUACCUUCCUGAUAAGUAACCUGACCCUCGGACCCGAUCCGGUUUUUCACAGACCACCUUUUCCAAAGUAAGGAGUCACACUUAGGGUUUUUCUUUCUUAUUUUGUUUACCCUUUUAAAAAUAAAACAAAAAUAAGUGGCGACUCCAAGUCAUUUUCUUAAACAAUAAAAAAUCAAAUUUUCAAAUAAAAAUCGAGUCCGCCAUUGAGUGGGAAACGCAUGAGCCGAAAUGCGGGGUCCACAAAAGGUCAUUGAAAACCCAAUUUUAGAAAUAUAACCCUUCAUCAUUUUUUUUAUCUCAUGUUAACAAAAAUGCUCUUAUUAUUUUCUUAUAAAAAUAAUCAUUUCUUUUAAAACACACUAUAAAUACUCCAAAUAGUCAGGGGCUUUUAUGUAUAAAAAAAUGAAUUACUCUUUAAAUAAAAAUAUUGGAGGGAAUAAAUUAACAAAUAUGAGGUAUUUCAUCCCUUUUAUCUAAUUAUUUCUAUAAUUUUAAGAGUUUAAGAAGGCUAGACAAAGACUAAUUAUUAGGCACAUUUUGUAAAAACACUAGUUAUUAGACACAUUUUUCGCUCAAUCAAUCAAUCACGGAGUUGACUAGACACUAAUUAUUGGACUUUUUUUUUUUUUUUUUUAUAAUAAGUGAAAGACAAGAAUACAAUCGACUACUUUGGUCAAUUAAACAAUCAUUCAGUUGACUAUAAACUAAUCUUUAGAUUUUUUUUUUUAUAAUAAUUGGAAGACAUGAAUACAAUCGAUUACUUUGAUUAAUUAAUCAAUUAUUCAAGAAAUUUAGAAAAAUAUUGGAUAAAAGAUAUAUAUAACGGAUUAUUUCAAAUUGAAACUUAAGAUUAUAAAUCUUACUUUUAAUGUUGAAAAAUCAUGUAAAACACAAGUUUUUAUCUUUGAAGUAAUCAAUUUCAUUUUUCACAAAAAAUCAUUAAUAAUGCAUGAAUGAAUUCUUUUAAAAAAUCUUAUAAAAAAUGUGAUUAUUUUUCAUUCCCAAAUACUUAGGUUCUAAAGAUCAAUUUUAAAGCAUACUUAUCCUUACUAUGCCUUACAAGAAAAUCUAUUCUAUACAUAUGAUCUUGUAAAAAAAUGUAAAUAAAAAAAUAAAAUAAAAUAAAAAGAAAAAAAAAAGCCUCUCUUGUUUUCCUCUUUUGACUGGAUAUCAUUACCAUACCUAAAAUUAAAUAUUUAAUUAAAAUAUUAUUUUACUAUCAUCAAAAUUUAGAUUUAACCAAACUUUAGGCUAGUAUGUUGAUACGAUAAGUUAAUUUUCUAUCUUAAAGUUUUAAAAACUUUUGAAAUUAAACAUUUUCUUACACAUUUAUUUUUAAAGUUUUUUAGCAUAAAAUUUAAAAUUGAAGCUUUUAAGGGAAAACCUCAUAAUAUAAUAUACUAGAAAGACAUGGUCAAACAAAUAGAGACGAAGCCUCAAAAGGAAGGGGCAAUGGUUGAACCACUUGACAUUGUUGCCUACUACUAAGAUGGUGUAAGAAACAACAUAACCAAUGGAACAUAUGCACAUUAAACAUUGUACAAUUAUUAUAAAUGUCUUAUACAUUAUGUGUGAAAAUACGAAAUAAAUAAAUAAAAUUAUAUUCAACAUUUAUAUUUGUAUACAAACAAUAUUUUCGAUAGUUUGAUAUAAAAAAACAAAUAAAAAAAUGAAGAAAAGCAUAUAAAUAUAUUUUCAAUGGACAAACUUAUUCAAUUAGUAUAAAUAUCUUGUAUAUUUAAUACAAAUACCUUAUACUUUGUGAAAAUGUAAAAAUAUAGUAUUUGAUAUUUAUAAAUGUGGGUAAGUAAUUUUUCUAAUGGUUUGAUUUAAAAAAAAAAUAAUGAGAAUCAAGAAAUACAUGCAAAUAAAUUAGUGUGAAUGAUAAAGGAUGUUUUUUUACCAUAAAUUUUCAUGGACUUAGCAUCAAUUAUGCAUCUAUAGAUGUUAACCCAAUUAGCAUAAUGUGAAAACCCUUACACACAAUAUAUAAACCCUAUACUUGAAUUAGGAAGGACAAAAAAAAAAUAGUUAGAGCAUUUGGUACCAUCAAUGAUGACUUCACCUAAAGAAAAGUUAAUGAACAUUAUGUUCUCAAUGGAAGAGCAACCCUAGUAGGACAUAUGGAGUAAAUUGAUGCUCUUCUUUCGACAACGAAGUAGCUAAGUCAUGAAAAUGGGGUUUUGCUAACAACAUUAAAUGCAAGAAUUCCCCAAUAUACUGCAAUUCAUAUUCAAUUCAUAGACUUUCAACUAACUACUCUCAAUAACGAGCAAACCCAAGUCAAUACAUAAGAUUGAUUAUUACUUAUGAUAAUUGAAACCAUAAUUAAUAAGACAUAUAUAUAUAUAUAUAUAUAUAUAUAUAUAUAUAUAUAUAUAUAUAUAUAUAUAUAUAUAUAUAUAUAUAUAUAUAUAUAUAUAAAAAAAAUAGAGACAAUUGUGUUUUGGAUCCAGGUGGAUCAAAAAAUAAGGUUUGGUUUAUAGAACUUACAUAAUUGAUGGAAAUGAUAUAAGUUAUCAAAAGACCAAAAUACUCAUUGACCUUUCACGUAAGUUUUUUUGGUCUUUAUUGUACCACUAUUCAUGCAACCAUAAUAAUUUUAUUUUAACUAUUUGGAUUUUUCAUUGUUUUUUAAAACUUUUUUUUUUAUAAAUAAUUGAAAAUCAACAUUAUUUUCUAUUUUAAAUUAUAAAUAAAGAAAAAUUACGUUCAAAAACUAUUUUAAAAAAUACUUUCUAAAAAAAUGGUAAUAUGAUUUAUAUUUUUUACAUUUUCUAUUAGAAAAAAAUAUUUAAUUAAAAAUGAAAAAUAAUUUUUAAAAAUAAAAAUUGAAAACCUUGUUUAGUACUAUUUUUUUAUAUGAAAAUAAUAAAAAUAAUUAAAUUUCAUUAAUUGAUUAUCCAUUAAAUUUUAUAUGAAAAUUUUUUAUAAGAGUAAAAAGAUUCAAUAUCUUUAAAAAAAGAAAAAAAAAACAAAACAAAACAAUAAGUUAGAAAUGAGUAAUACUUAAUUGGGAAUAGAAAAGGGGAAAAAAUUGAAAUUUACACUCAUUAUAUGCCUAUGUAGGGAUUAAAGGUAUUUUAGGGAUUAAUGAAGGAUAAUAUCCUUUAACUUAAUUUUUAUAAUUUAUUUGGGUCUUGACCUUAAAUGUGCAUGAUAUAUGGAUCUUUGGUCAAUUUUUGGGCCCAUUCGGGCCCAAAAUACAAUUCUCCCUACAAAAAUAUUUAUUAAAAUAAAUUAAUUAAUAAAAGCCAUUUAAAGAGUUUCAUAACUUAGUAUCGAAGCUAUUGUAAGAAAAAAGUAUUAUAUAAUGUAGGGUUUAGGUUCAAAGUCUACCUAAGAUUAAAUUUAAGUCUCGAGACAAAUUCACAUUCAAAACUAGGUUUUUAAGUUUGAAAAAUAGAUCCCUUAAACAAAUUAAAUGGUAAAAAAUAAUUACAAAGAAAAUUUCUCUAGCUGGUUUCUUCAUCUUGAAAACUAACGGAAACAUAUAUUAAUAUUUGGUAUGAAAAUUCGUAACCUUAGAAACACAGCUUUGAGUCUUGCUGAGAAAAACAAAGCUUAUUUGCUCGUAGACCAUCGUAGUGGUCGUCAUACCGUGUGAGGACCGGGGAAGCAUCUUUGCUCGUAGACCGGCUUUUGUAGUCUUUCUUUAACAAUUACAAGUUGUCAGGAUUCCCUUCAUCCUCCCAAAUAAUAUUGUUUUUGGUCUUGUUCUGGUUGCAUCUCCGUGGAAGGAAAGAAGAUGAAUCAAGUUCCUUUGUAAGUAUCAAUGUCUCUGAUUCAUUUUUUGGUUCCUAGAAUCGAAUCCUCGCUCUGUUCUUGCUUAAUUUCUCCUUUUUCUGUUGGGUCUUUCACUGCAGGUUUAGCUCUGCACGGGAACUGGCAAAUUUGGUGCUGAGCUCCAAUCUAAUCGACUGUGCUUUCACCAAAAUUCUUGAACUUAAGAGAGGCCAAACAGCCUUGCCUGUUCAAUACAGACUUUAUCAACUGUCUUCCAAGUGCACAAUUGUAGCUUUUGUCUCUUCACCUGACUGCACUCAAUACCCUCUUCCUGGACAAGGAGAUUUAGAUCGGUCUCCUCUCUUUGACUUCCUCCGUACCGAAGAAUACCCGUCCGUCUCCAUUAACAGAGCAGCAUUAGCCCUCUAUACCCCUCUCCAUGAUCAUCUCUCUGGACUAACAGAUGAGGUCAAAAUCUGAUACUUGUUUGAAUUUUCGUUUCCUUUUCGUUAACAAUUGUGAGACACGAAACAGCUUGACCAUGAGAUCUCCCUCAUGGAGUCGAACUACCUGAAGGAUAAGACGUCACACAUAUCCAUUUUCAUGGCAUCGUCACAUGACCCAUUGAUCGGUUGUGAUUCAACUCUUAAUAGGAACACAGUAGAACUGGUGUUGGUAUAUCUGUCUUUAGAUAAGCUUGCAUAUAUCUUGUCACUGAAAAAGGAAUGUUCAGAAGUGAGAUUAGUGGCAUUAUUCUGACAUGGAUUUCAUAUGGUUACUUGUUUUGCAGUUGACUCAGAUUGAAGGUCAGUUAAUCAUCACUGGGCACUCCCUGGGAGGAUCCGUUGCUUCUCUCUUCACCUUACGCCUGCUAGAUGGCAAUUUAUUAAAACCCAAAUGCCGCCCCUUUUGUAUCACCUUUGGUUCACCCCUCAUAGGCGACUUUGGCCUCCAACACUCCAUAUGGAAUUCUUUCUUCCUGCAUGUAGUGUCUAACCAAGACCCAGUCCCCGGACUCUUCCUCCCAUCCGGCAGAUCUCCGCCCACAUCCUCCCAUUCACAAACUACCGGUUACAAGCCCUUUGGGACAUAUCUCUUGUGCUCUGAACUUGGUUGUGCUUGUUUUGACAACCCUGAUUUAAUUUUGGGAUUGCUUAAAGUCAUAUCAUCAGAGGUUGCCGGAGGAUUGCAGGAUGUUGACUAUGGGGAGAUUUUAAGAAACCUCAAGGAGAGGGCAAUCUGCAAGGGACUGCCGCAGGUGGGUGAACGGUUUGCAGAUCCAUUUUCAGCUGGGAUCAUCAUGGAACUUGAGACAAUUGGAUUUAAUCAAACAAAGGUAAACAGCUUUCUCCCAUCUAAUGAUGUUAUGAAACAUGGUUUACACUACACCAAAUACUGCAAUAACUGCCCUAUUCAGAUUUAUCUUCUUGUUCUUUGGGAUCUUCCAUAACUAGUCUCAUUUUUAAAAUUCAUGGCAGUUGCUGCAGCAUAACAUUGAUAUCAACGCUAUGAUAAGAACAAUGGAAGCGGAAACCAGAAGCCUAAUCCAGAAAAAUAAAGCUUCCGAUGCCAAGAAACUGAAUGACAUAAAAAGAGACAUGGCCCAUCUAGAAUGGUAUAAGAAGAAAUCGGAAAUGGGUUACUACGAUUGCUUCAAAAAUCAGGGGUCUAAAAGGGACAUCAACGUUGAACAAUUUAGGGGAAACCUCACAAUGUACUGGGAAGACAUGGUUGCACAAGUACAGAGGAAGCCCCAGAAGGAAGGAGCAACAUUUCGAACCCGUUGGUUCUAUGCAGGGACAGUUUAUAGGAGAAUGGUUGAACCACUGGACAUUGCUGCCUUCUACAGAGAGGGUGGAACAGACUACAUAAACAAUGGAAGAUCUCUUCAUUACAAGCUGUUGCAGCAAUGGUAUGAAGAAGAUGUGAAACCCCCCUCUAGAGAUAAGCUUGAUUCCAAGAAGCAAAAGGUGUCUGGUAUCCUAACUGAGGAUUCUUUGUUUUGGGCACAUGUGGAGGAGGCCAUCUUGUCAUGCGAAUUGCUCAAGAGUCAAAACUGUACUCUUGAGCAGGGAAAAUCAUCAUGGGAUAAUCUGGUUAAGUUCGAGGAGUAUGUAAUGGAACAUAUUAACAACUAUGCAGCGUCCCCUGAGAUUUUCUCGAGGGAAAGCAGCUUCAUGAAAUGGUGGGGACUGUAUGAGGGCUACAUAGAUACUUGCAGUAAUUCCCAUGGGUCGCCAUUGAUCAACUUCAUGAAGAAACGUAGCUAUAUGAAGUAUGGUUAGAGGGGCAAUCCAGUUUGUGUGUUGUGUUUGUUGUUUUGUGAGCGUUCAAUGGAUAAAACUAGAAAGAGUGACCUUUUUCCCUUUUUCUUGGUUGCUGCCCAUAUUCUCAGCACUAUUUUCUUCCUUCUUUUCCUCUGUUUUUUUGUUAAGAAAUGAAUAUUAUGAUGUUGCUGGGAUGCACUUUCAUUGUUGUUCUAUUACAUUGUGUUUUAUUUAUAUCCUAAACAAAUAAAUCAAAACAAGAAAAUCAAAUAAGACUUAAAGAGUCUUUUCCUUCAAAAAAAAAAAUGGGGAAAAAGAAAAACAUUUUUGUUUAGAUUCAACUCCACCAAAACUUGCAACAACUUCCCAUUGAAAAAUUCCUUUUAAGCUUCUGAAUGAUAUAAAACCAGAUAUGUUCCAGCUAGAAUGGUACAAGAAAGAAAUCAAAAGAUGAGUACAGUGGGUUAUUAUGACAGCUUUAGAAACCUGGGGUGUAAAAGAGACAUUAAAAUGGAACCGAUGGGAAGACAUGGUAGAACACGUAGAGAGGAAGCCUCACCAGGAAGGGGCAGCUUUGCAAACCCUCUGGCUCUGUACAGGAACGAAUUAUAGAAAGAUGGUUGAACCACUUGACAUUGUUCCCUACCACAGAGAGGGUGGAAGACACUACAUAACAUUACACGCUAUUGGAGCAAUGAUGCAAUGAAGAGGAGAAGGGGGCUUUGUCUUCUCAUGCAAAUUGCUCUCAGAGCUCAGAACCUACUCCUGAAGGGAAAGAAUCAUCAUUGAGUGAUCUGGUUAAGUUUGAGGAUUUAUUUAUAUAAUUGAACUGAUUGGAAGCUAUGCAGUGUCGGCCCCCGCCCGAGCAGCUUCAUGAAACGGUGGAAAGAGUUGGAAGAAGUCAUAGAUACUUGCUAUAGGAGCUUCAUGAAGUAUGGAGAGGUGUGGCAUAGAUACUUGCAGUCUCUGAAUUUCCCAAAUCCAAUUUCAGAUUGUGUAUUUAGAUUCGUGGAACUUGUUUUCUUGCUUUUUGUUAGGUACAAUUGAGAUGGGCUGAACCGAAAGGCCCGCCAGGAUGAACAAUAUAAUGGGCCUGAAUUUUAAACCAGCGGAUGGGCUUUGUACUGGAUUCAGCUGUCUGAGCCCAAUGAGUAUUGAAUGUAUUUCUGUAUAAAAUUAAAUUUUUAACAUUGAAAUAUAAGGACUUACUUAAAAACACAUUUGGUAACUUUUUUUUUUUUAUGGUUAAUAAUAGAUUUAAAAAAAAAUUAAAAAUAUAUAAUUUUUUAGGAUAAAUUUGAGGCAUGUUUAGGUAUUUUUCGUGGUAAAGAGUUUUGAGAAGCAAUGGGAAAUAUACAGAAUACUUUAAAAACUUUUGCAUAAGUAAGAUACUUACACGAGGCUUUCAUGAAAAAUAAAUUGAUAAAAACAAUUCUCAUAUUUAAAUUUCGAAACAUAAAACAACUCAGAACUGUUUUUAAAAAUUGUUCUUAAAAAUAGUUUUCUAUUAAGUCACAUUCAAGGAUGCUUUUAUCUUUUAUUUUUCUAUGUUUCAUCCUUGCAUAAAUGGAGUACAAAGACAUAAGUUAAUCUAAUUAACAAAUAUAGAUAAUCAUCCGAUAAAAGAGUAAAUUAGGUGAUGAUCUCUUUAUAUAUGCAAGUAAUGGAAUGAAUGUGAUGAAAAAUAAAAUAAAAAAGUAAGGGGAGAAAUGUUGUAAAUAAAGUGUUUUUAUUGUAGUUCAACGACCUAUCCACUUCCGCACCUUGACAUAUUUCACAAUUUUAAAAGUUUUCUUAAUCAUGAUUCUCUUUAUUAUUCUUUAAGUCCGGAUUUCUUAUGUUUCAAUAGACUUUUACAAUCACUAAGAUAGUGUUUGUUUUUUCACUUAAUUCUAAAUAUAACUUAAAACUAAAUAAUAUUUAAUAAUAUCAGGAUUAGGUUGUUUUUUUUAUAACAUUUUAUUUCUAUAUAAUAUUAAAAAGUAAAGAAAAAUCAAUAUAUUAUUUUUUUCAUUUAAAAAAAGUCAAAUAUUUUGACUUUUUUUUAAGCUAAAAAUUUAUAAUAAAAAAUAAAAAACAAACAAACAAACAAACAACUUAAAGUGUAAAAAUAGAUUGUUUUCAAUAAAAAUUUAAAAAAAAACAAACACCUUCUAAAUAAAAUUCCUUAACCACUCGUUCAAUAGCUCCUUUAAGCACAAAAUGUAUUGAAGUGCUCACAAUGAAAAGAUAAACAAGUUUUGAUUCAAUAUAAUUUUGGGUUAUCUAAUUAAAAGGGUCAUUGAAAACCCAAUUUUAGAAAUAUAACCCUUCAUCAUUUUUUUAUCUCGUGUUAACAAAAAUGCUCUUAUUAUUUUCUUAUAAAAAUAAUCAUUUCUUUUAAAACACACUAUAAAUACUCCAAAUAGCCAAGGGCUUUUAUGUAAAAAAAAAUGAAUUACUCUUCAAAUAAAAAUAUUGGAGGGAAUAAAUUCACAAAUAUGAGGUAUUUCAUCCCUUUUAAAUAAUUAUUUCUAUAAUUUUAAGAGUUUAAGAAGGCUAGACAAAGACUAAUUAUUAGGCACAUUUUGUAAAAACACUAGUUAUUAGACACAUUUUUUGCUCAAUCAAGCAAUCACACAGUUGACUAAACACUAAUUAUUGGACUUUUUUUUUUUAUAAUAAGUGGAAGACAAGAAUACAAUCGACUACUUUGGUCAAUUAAGCAAUCAUUCAGUUGACUAUAAACUAGUCUUUAGACAUUUUUUUUUAUAAUAAUUGGAAGACAUGAAUACAAUCGAUUACUUUGGUCAAUUAAUCAAUUAUUCAAGAAAUUUAGAAAAAUAUUGGAUAAAAGAUAUAUAUAACGGAUUAUUUCAAAUUGAAACUUAAGAUCAUAAAUCUUACUUUUAAUGUUGAAAAAUCAUGUAAAACACAAGUUUUUAUCUUUGAAGUAAUCAAUUUCAUUUUUCACAAAAAAUCAUUAAUAAUACAUGAAUGAAUUCUUUUAAAAAAAUCUUAUAAAAAAUGUGAUUAUUUUUCAUUCCCAAAUAUUUAGGUUCUAAAGGUCAAUUUUAAAGCAUACUUAUCCUUACUAUGCCUUACAAGAAAAUCUAUUCUAUACAUAUGAUCUUGUAAAAAACUGUAAAUAAAAAAGAAAAAAAGAAAAAAAACCUCUCUUGUUUUCCUCUUUUGAUUGGAUAUCAUUAUCAUACUUAAAAUUAAAUAUUUAAUCAAAAUAUUAUUUUACUAUCAUCAAAAUUUAGAUUUAACCAAACUUUAGGCUAGUAUGUUGAUACGACAAGUUAAUUUUCUAUCUUAAAGUUUUAAAAACUUUUGAAAUUAAACAUUUUCUUACACAUUUAUUUUUAAAGUUUUUAGCAUAAAAUUUAAAAUUGAAGCUUUUAAAGGAAAACCUCAUAAUAUAAUAUACUAGAAAGACAUGGUCAAACAAAUAGAGACGAAGCCUCAAAAGGAAGGGGCAAUGGUUGAACCACUUGACAUUGUUGCCUACUACUAAGAUGGUGUAAGAAACAACAUAACCAAUGGAACAUAUGCACAUUAAACAUUGUACAAUUAUUAUAAAUGUCUUAUACAUUAUGUGUGAAAAUACCAAAAAAAAAGAAAAAUUAUAUUCAACAUUUACAUUUGUAUACAAACAAUGUUUUCGACAAUUUGAUAUAAAAAACAAAUAAAAAAAAUAAAGAAAAACAUACAAAUAUAUUUACAAUGGACAAACUUAUUCAAUUAGUAUAAAUAUCUUGUAUAUUUAAUACAAAUACCUUAUACUUUGUGAAAAUGUAAAAAUAUAGUAUUUAAUAUUUAUACAUGUGGGUAAGUAAUUUUUCUAAUGGUUUGAUUUAAAAAACAAAUAAUGAGAAUCAAGAAAAACAUGCAAAUAAAUUAGUGUGAAUGAUAAAGGGUGUUUUUUACCAUAAAUUUUCAUGGACUUAGCAUCAAUUAUGCAUCUAUAGAUGUUAACCCAAUUAGCAUAAUGUGAAAACCCUUGCACACAAUAUAUAAACCCUAUACUUGAAUUAGGAAGGACAAAAAAAAAAUAGUUAGAGCAAUUGGUACCAUCAAUGAUGACUUCACCUAAAGAAAGGUUAAUGAACAUUAUGUUCUCAACGGAGAGCAACUCUGGUAGAACAUAUGGAGUAAAUCAAUGCCCUUCUUUUAACGAUGAAGUAGCUAAGUCAUGAAAACAAGGUUUUGCUAACAACAUUAAAGGCAAGAAUUCCCCCAAUAUACUCCAAUUCAUAUUCAAUUCACAGACCUUCAACUAACUACUCUCAGUAACGAGCAAACCCAAGUCAAUACAUAAGAUUGAUUAUUACUUAUGAUAAUUGAAACCCUAAUUAAAUAAAUAAGGACACAAAUAUAUAUAUAUAUAUAUAGGGACAGUUGUGUUUUGGACCUAGGUGAACCCAAAAAUUAAGGUUUGGUUUAUAUAACUUACAUAAUUGAUGAAAAUGAUAUAAGAUAUCAAAAUAUCAAAAUACUCAUUGACCUUUCACAUAAGCUUUUUUGGUAUUUAUUGCACUACUAUUCAUUCAACCAUAAUAAUUCUAUUUUAACUAUUUGGAUUUUUCAUUGUUUUUUAAAACUUUUUAUUUAUAAAUAAUUGAAAAUCAACAUUAUUUUCUAUUUUAAAUUAUAAAUAAAGAAAAAUUACGUUCGAAAACUAUUUUAAAAAAUACUUUCUAAAAAAAAUGGUAAUAUGAUUUAUAUUUUUUAUAUUUUCUUUUAGAAAAAAAUAUUUAAUUAAAAAAUGAAAAAUAUUUUUAAAAAUAAAAAUUGGAAACCUUGUUUAGUACUAUUUUUUUUAUAUAAAAAUAAUAAAAAUAAUUAAAUUUCAUUUAUUGAUUAUCCAUUAAAUUUUAUAUGAAAAUUUUGUAUAAGAGUAAAAAGAUUCAAUAUCUUUAAAAAAAGAAAAAAAAAACAAAACAAAAAGUUAGAAAUGAGUAAUACUUAAUUGGGAAUAGAAAAUGGGAAAAAUUUUGAAAUUUACACUCACUAUAUGUCUACGUAGGGAUUAAGGGUAUUUUAGGGAUUAAUGAAGGAUAAUAUCUUUUAACUUAAUUUUUACAUUUUAUUUGGGUCUUGGGAUUAAAUGUACAUUAUAUAUGGAUCUUUGGUUAAUUUUUGGACCCAUCCGGACCCAAAACACAAUUCUCCAUAAAAAAAUAUUUAUUAAAAUAAAUAAAUUAAUAAAAACCAUUUAGAGAGUUUCAUAACUUAGGUGGUGUUUGUUUUUUUGGCUUUUUGGUGAAAACCAUUUAGUUUUAGAAUUUAGGUUGUUUGUUUUUUUACUUUUUCAUGACUUAUUAUAAACUUUUUACAAAAUAGAAAAAGCCAAAAUAUAUGACUUUUUCUAAAUAGAAAAAUAACACAAUGGUUUUUUUUACUUUUUAAUACUUAAUAGAAAUAAAAUAUUAUAAAAACAAACAACCUAAUAUUUAAUACUAUUAAGUAUUAAAGUUCUAUUUAGAAUUAAGUAAAAAAACAAACACCACCUAAGUGUCGAAGCUAUUGUAAGAAAAAAGUAUUAUAUAAUGUAGGGUUUAGGUUCAAAGUCUACCUAAGAUUAAAUUUAAGUCUUAAGACAAAUUCACAUUCAAAACUAGGUUUUUAAGUUAGAAAAAUAGACCCCUUAAACCAAUUAAAUGGUAAAAAAAAAUUACAAAGAAAAUUUCUCUAGCUGGUUUCUUCAUCUUGAAAACUAACGGAAACAUAUAUCAAUAUUUGGUAUGAAAAUUCGUAACCUUAGAAACACAGCUUUGAGUCUUGCUGAGAAAAACAAAGCUUAUUUGCUCGUAGACCAUCGUAGUGGUCGUCAUACCGUGUGAGGACCGGGGAAGCAUCUUUGCUCGUAGACCGGCUUUUGUAGUCUUUCUUUAACAAUUGCAAGUUGUCAGGAUUCCCUUCAUCCUCCUAUAUAAUAUUGUUUUUGGUCUUGUUCUGGUUGUAUCUCCGUGGAAGGAAGGAAGAUGAAUCAAGUUCCUUUGUAUGUAUCAAUGUCUCUGAUUCAUUUUUUGGUUCCUAGAAUCGAAUCCUCGCUCUGUUCUUGCUUAAUUUCUCCUUUUUCUGUUGGGUCUUUCACUGCAGGUUUAGCUCUGCACGGGAACUGGCAAAUUUGGUGCUGGCCUCCAAUCUAAUCGACUGUGCUUUCACCAAAAUUCUUGAACUUAAGAGAGGCCAAACAGCCUUGCCUGUUCAAUACAGACUUUAUCAACUGUCUUCCAAGUGCACAAUUGUAGCUUUUGUCUCUUCACCUGACUGCACUCAAUACCCUCUUCCUGGACAAGGAGAUUUAGAUCGGUCUCCUCUCUUUGACUUCCUCCGUACCGAAGAAUACCCGUCCGUCUCCAUUAACAGAGCAGCAUUAGACCUCUUUACCCCUCUCCAUGAUCAUCUCUCUGGACUAACAGAUGAGGUCAAAAUCUGAUACUUGUUUGAAUUUUCGUUUCCUUUUCGUUAACAAUUGUGAGACACGAAACAGCUUGACCAUGAGAUCUCCCUCAUGGAGUCGAACUACCUGAAGGAUAAGACGUCACACAUAUCCAUUUUCAUGGCAUCGUCACAUGACCCAUUGAUCGGUUGUGAUUCAACUCUUAAUAGGAAUACAGUAGAACCGGUGUUGGUAUCUGUCUUUAGAUCAGCUUGCAUAUAUCUUGUCACUGAAAAAGGAAUGUUCAGAAGUGAGAUUAGUGGCAUUAUUCUGACAUGGAUUUCAUAUGGUUACUUGUUUUGCAGUUGACUCGGAUUGAAGGUCAAUUAAUCAUCACUGGGCACUCCCUGGGAGGAUCCGUUGCUUCUCUCUUCACCUUACGCCUGCUAGACGGCAAUUUAUUAAAGCCCAAAUGCCAUCCCUUUUGUAUCACCUUUGGUUCACCCCUCAUAGGCGACUUUGGCCUCCAAGACUCCAAAUGGAAUUCUUUCUUCCUGCAUGUAGUGUCUAACCAAGACCCAGUCCCCGGACUCUUCCUCCCAUCCGGCAGAUCUCCGCCCACAUCCUCCCAUUCACAAACUACCGGUUACAAGCCCUUUGGGACAUAUCUCUUGUGCUCUGAACUUGGUUGUGCUUGUUUUGACAACCCUGAUUUAAUUUUGAGAUUGCUGAAAGUCAUAUCAUCAGAGGUUGCCGGAGGAUUGCAGGAUGUUGAUUAUGGGGAGAUUUUAAGAAACCUCAAGGAGAGGGCAAUCUGCAAGGGACUGCCGCAGGUGGGUGAACGGUUUGCAGAUCCAUUUUCAGCUGGGAUCAUCAUGGAACUUGAGACAAUUGGAUUUAAUCAAACAAAGGUAAACAGCUUUCUCCCAUCUAAUGAUGUUAUGAAACAUGGUUUACACUUCACCAUAUACUGCAAUAACUGCCCUAUUCAGAUUUAUCUUCUUGUUCUUUGGGAUCUUCCAUAACUCGUCUCAUUUUUAAAAUUCAUGCCAGCUGCUGCAGCAUAACAUUGAUAUCGACGCUAUGAUAAGAACAAUGGAAGAGGAAACCAGAAGCCUAAUCCAGAAAAAUAAAGCUUCCGAUGCCAAGAAACUGAAUGACAUAAAAAGAGACAUGGCCCAUCUAGAAUGGUAUAAGAAGAAAUCGGAAAUGGGUUACUACGAUUGCUUCAAAAACCAGGGGUCUAAAAGGGACAUCCACGUUGAACAGUUUAGGGUAAACCUCACAAAAUACUGGAAAGACAUGGUUGCACAAGUACAGAGGAAGCCCCAGAAGGAAGGAGCAACAUUUCGAACCCGUUGGCUCUAUGCAGGGACAGUUUAUAGGAGAAUGGUUGAACCACUGGACAUUGCUGCCUUCUACGGAGAGGGUAAAACAGACUACAUAAACAAGAAAAGAUCUCUUCAUUACCAGCUGUUGCAGCAAUGGUAUGAGGAAGAUGUGAAACCCCCCUCUAGAGAUAAGCUUGAUUCCAAGAAGCAAAAGGUGUCUGGUAUCCUAACUGAGGAUUCUUUGUUUUGGGCAUAUGUGGAGGAGGCCAUCUUGUCAUGCGAAUUGCUCAAGAGUCAAAACUGUACUCUUGAGCAGGGAAAAUCAUCAUGGGAUAAUCUGGUUAAGUUCGAGGAGUAUGUAAUGGAACAGAUUAACAACUAUGCAGCGUCCCCUGAGAUUUUCUCGAGGGAAAGCAGCUUCAUGAAAUGGUGGGGACUGUAUGAGGGCUACAUAGAUACUUGCAGUAAUUCCCAUGGGUCGCCAUUGAUCAACUUCAUGAAGGAUCGUAGGUAUAUACAGUAUGGACGUUAGAGGGGCAAUCCAGUUUGUGUGUUGUGUUUGUUGUUUUGUGAGCGUUCAAUGGAUAAAACUAGAAAGAGUGUGACCUUUUUCCCUUUUUCUUGGUUGCUGCCCAUAUUCUCAGCACUAUUUUCUUCCUUCUUUUCCUCAGUUUUUUUUGUUAAGAAAUGAAUAUUAUGAUGUUGCUGGGAUGCACUUUCAUUGUUGUUCUAUUAAAUUGUGUUUUAUUUAUAUCCUAAACAAAUAAAUGUAAACAAGAAAAUCAAAUAAGACUUCAAAGAGUCUUUUCCUUCAAAAAAAAAAAAAAUGGGGAAAAAGAAAAACAUUUUUGUUUAGAUUCAACUCCACCAAAACUUGCAACAACUUCCCAUUGAAAAAUUCCUUUUAAGCUCUGAAUGACAUAAAACUAGAUAUGUUCCAGCUAGAAUGGUACAAGAAAGAAAUCAACAGAUGAGAACAAUGGGUUAUUAUGACAGCUUCAGAAACCUGGGGUGUAAAAGAGACAUUAAAAUGGAACCGAUGGGAAGACAUGGUAAAACACGUAGAGAGGAAGCCUCACCAGGAAGGGGCAGCUUUGCAAACCCUCUGGCUCUGUACAGGAACGAAUUAUAGAAAGAUUGUUGAACCACUUGACAUUGCUGCCUACCACAGAGAGGGUGGAAGACACUACAUAACCAAUGGAGGAUCUAAACAUUACACGCUAUUGGAGCAAUGAUGCAAUGAAGAGGAGAAGGGGGCUUUGUCUUCUCAUGCAAAUUGCUCUCAGAGCUCAGAACCUACUCCUGAAGGGAAAGAAUCAUCAUGGAGUGAUCUGGUUAAGUUUGAGGAUUUAUUUAUAUAAUUGAACUGAUUGGAAGCUAUGCAGUGUCGGCCCCCACCCGAGCAGCUUCAUGAAACGGUGGAAAGAGUUGGAAGAAGUCAUAGAUACUUGCUAUAGGAGCUUCAUGAAGUAUGGAGAGGUAUGGCAUAGAUACUUGCAGUGUCUGAAUUUCCCAAAUCCAAUUUCAGAUUGUGUACUUAGAUUCGUGGAACUUGUUUUCUUGCUUUUUGUUAGGUACAAUUGAGAUGGGCUGAACCGCAAGGCCCGCCAGGAUGAACAAUAUAAUGGGCCUGAAUUUUAAACCAGUGGAUGGGCUUUGGACUGGAUUCAGCUGUCUGAGCCCAAUGAGUAUUGAAUGUGUUUCUGUAUAAAAUUAAAUUUUUAACAUUGAAAUAUAAGGACUUACUUAAAAACACAUUUGGUAACUUUUUUUUUUUGGUUAAUAAUAGAUUGUUUAAAAAAAAAUUAAAAAAAUAUUAUUUUUUAGAAUAAAUUUGAGGCAUGUUUAGGUAUUUUUCGUGGUAAAGAGUUUAGAAGCAAUGAGAAUAUAUAUAGAAUACUUUAAAACUUUUGCAUAAUACUUACUUACAUGAUGCUUUCAUAAAAAAUAAAUCAAUAAAAACAAUUUUCAUAGUUGAAUUUCAAAACAUAAAACAACUCAGAAUUGUUUUUAAGAAUUGUUCUUAGAAAUAGUUUUCUAUUAAGUCACAUUCAAGGAAUCGUUUUCAUAUAUGCAAGUAAUGGAAUGAAUGUGAUGAAAAAUAAAAAAUAAAAAGUAAGGGGAAAGAUAUUGUAAAUAAAGUGUUUUUAUCGUGGUUCAAUGACCUAUCCACUUCCACACCUUGAUGUAUUUCACAAUUUUAAAAGUUUUCUUAAUCAUGAUUCUCCUUAUUAUUCUUUAUGUCGAGAUUUUUUAAGUUUUAAUAGACUUUUUCAAUCACUAAGGUGGUGUUUGCUUUUUCACUUAAUUUUAAAUAUAACUUAAAACUAAAUAAUACUUAAUAGUAUCAACUAUUAAGUUGUUUGUUUCUAUAACAGUUUAUUUCUAUAUAAUAUUAAAAAGUAAAGAAAAAUCAACAUGCUAUUUUUGUCAUUUAAAAAAAGUCAAAUAUUUUGAAUUUUUUUAUUUAGCUAAAAAUUUAUAAUAAAUCCUAAAAAGAUAAAUAAUAAUAAUAAUAAAUAAAUAAAUAAAUAAAAACAAAUAAACAACUUAAAGUCUAAAAACAAAUUGUUGUCAACAAAAAAUUAAAAAAACAAGCACUUUCUAAAUAAGAUUCCUUAACCACUCGUACAAUAGCUCCUUUAAGCACAAGAUGUAAUGAAUGAAUACAACUUUGGUGAAAUAACUAAAGUGCUCACAAUGAGAAAAUAAACAAGUUUGGAUUCAAUAUAAUUUUUGGCUAUCUAAUUAAAAGGGUAAUUGAAAACCCAAUUUUGGAAAUAUAACCCUUCAUCAUUUUUUUUACCUCAUUUUAAUAAAAAUACUCUUAUUAUUUUCUUAUAAAAAUAAUCAUUUCUUUUAAAACAUACUAUAAAUACUUCAAAUAAUCAAGAGCAUUUAUGUAAAAAAUGAAUUACUCUUCAAAUAAAAAUAUUGGAGGGAAUAAAUUCACAAAUAUAUGGGGUAUUUCAUCCCUUCUAACUAAUUAUUUCUAUAAUUUAAAGAGUUUAAGAAGGCAAGACAACUAAAUAAAUGAAGUUUUCAAGUUAUUGUCUCUAUCAUAAAUAAAGUCCAAUAAUCACAUUUGUAUCGUUUUGUACAAAGACUAAUUAUUAGGCAUAUUUUGUAAAAACACUAAUUAUUAGACACAUUUUUCGCUCAAUCAAACAAUCACACAGUUGACUAGAAACUAGUUGUUGGACAUUUUUUUUUAUAAUCAUUGGAAGACAAGAAUACAAUCGACUACUUUAAUCAAUUAAGCAAUCAUACAGUCGACUAUAAACUAGUCAUUGGACAUUUUUUUUAAAAUCAUUGGAAGACAGGAAUACAAUCGAUCACUUUGGUCAAUUAAUCAAUUAUUCAAGAAAUUUAGAAAAAUAUUGGAUAAACGACAUAUAGUGGAUUAUUUCAAAUUGAAACUUAAGAUCGGAAAUCUUGCUUUUAAAUCAUGUAAAACACAAGUUUUUAUCUUUGAAGUAAUCAAUCUCAUUUUUAACAAAAAAAAUCAUUAAUAAUAUAUGAAUGAAUUCUUUUAAAAAAUGUGAUUAUUUUUCAUUCCCAAAUACUUAUGUUCUAAAGGUCAAUUUUAAAGCAUACUUGUCCCUACUAUGCCUUAUAAGAGAAUAUAUUCUAUACAUGUGAUAUUGUAAAAAAGUUUAAAAAAUAAAUAAAUAAAUAAAUAAAACCUCUUUUGUUUUCCUCUUUUGACUAUAUAUCAUCAUUAUCAUACUUAAAAUUAAAUAUUCAAUCAAAAUAUUAUUUUAUUAUCAUCAAAAUUUAAAUUUAACCAAACUUUAGGCUAGUACGUUGAUAUGACAAGUUAAUUUUCUAUCUUAAAGUUUUAAAAACUUUGAAAUUAAACAUUUUCUUACACAUUUAUUUUUAAAGUUUUUAGCAUAAAAUUUAAAAUAAAAAAAUACAUUAUUUUCAAAUUCAUUUUGAAAAUUUUUAUUUUAAAAAUAAAAAAUUUAAUAAAAAAAAAUGCAGGCCAGUUUUUUUUCCCUCUUUUUACCCUACAGUUUAAUUAAUUUGAGGUUAGAGGAAAGCUAUGAAAGAAAGAAAAUAAAAAUAAAAAAGAAAAUGAAAGAAUGAAAAAUAUAGCAAAAAAAUUUAAAAGAAAAAAUCUACAAGCUAAUAUUUUUUUCUUAUUUGAGAUGAUAUUUUAUAUUUAGCUUUACUACAAGCUAAAGUCACCAAAACCAUGAUCACAAAAGGGUAAUAUUGAUAUAAUGAAAGAUUAUGAAAAAAAAAAAGUUCUAUAACAAGCAAUAUUUGCUUGACUUUCAUUUAAAAAAAUUUAAAAUCAAAAUACUUUUAGUAAAAUUAUCUAAACAUGUCAAACCUAAACGAAGUGAGUGUUUCAUAUUAAGUUAUUUUUUAAGCCAAAAAACUUAUUUUAAUAGAAUUAAUCACAUAGAUAAAAAGUUGCUAUCGUGGUGGGAAAAAGGUUUUCUUUCAUUUAUUAAAUGCUAAUAAAUUUUGAAUUAUUGAAUUCAUAAAUCUUUUAAUAAAGGUCUCAUUACGUUACAUCUAAGGUUUUAUUGUGUUGGCAUCUUAUGUCUGGUGUUAUUAUUUAUUUUAUAUCCAUUUUAUUGUUUUAUAGUUUAAUCUCAUUUGAUUGUACUAUCAUUAAAUAAUCUAAAUUUGAUUACUAUGAGAUUUUAAAGUUAGAUAUGAUGUCAAUCAUGGUAUAGAUUUUGAAAGAUAUUAUCAAAUCAAAUAUUUAGGGUAUUUGAUAAAUCAAUUUAAUAACUUAAAAUGAUUUAAUAAUUUAUUUAUAUUAAUUUAAAGUUUUCAAAUAAAUUUUUUUAUAAAUAUAAUUUUAGAUUUAAGUAAAGAUAAGUUAAUUUUAAAUUUUAAAUUAAAAUAAUUAACUCAUUCUUAGUUAAAUCUAAAACUAUAUUUAAAAUAAAUAAAAACAGAGAUGGAUAUAAAUUAAGUCAAUAACUCACUUUAAAUCAUUGACUUGAUUUACCAAACACUUCAAAAUCUCACAUUUACAAGACCUGAAGUGGAUCCUUUUCAAUGAAUAUUGUCAUAUUUGUUGGAGUGUACCCAAAAUCCAAAUAUUUCAGUCUUUUUUCUCUUUAUUUCAUUUUAAAAUAAAAUAAUAAUCAUUAUACCAUGAACUUUCAAAAGUACCAUCAUUAUGUCAGUGGAGAUGGGAAGCUGAAAGCCUGAAACAAAUCAAUGGUGAAAGACACCAGUUUUCCAACAACAAAAAAGGCCAAAUCUGAUUCCAACUCAUCCAGUCUAUCUGUGCACUUUGACAACUGAAACACUUUAUUCCAAUUCACAUUUCACUAGAAAUUCCAUUCCAUAUCUACUCAAUAUUCACUGAAAAGGGUUUACAAUGAAAUAACAACUNNNNNNNNNNNNNNNNNNNNNNNNNNNNNNNNNNNNNNNNNNNNNNNNNNNNNNNNNNNNNNNNNNNNNNNNNNNNNNNNNNNNNNNNNNNNNNNNNNNNGAAAUUCAAAGAGCAACACUACUAACAUCUCAGAAUCCUCUGUGCAAUCACUACCAAAACUUUUCCUUACACAUGAAUGAAGAAAUGAGGCUGUACAUAUAUAAUCUGCGGAUGACAACAUGCAAGAAUGCAAAUGGGGGAAAUGGGGAAACAAAUAUUCUAGACAGGGUCUUAUUGGAAAGAAUCUAGGAUUGGGGCUUGAAGAAAAAUGGAAGAAUGGCAUCAUAAGACUGCAGUCUGAGUGGGAGAAGAAUUCAGGCGGGAGAGACAGGUUGAAGAUGAGUUCAGUAAUGAGCUCUCAAGGCUUGGGCAUGGUUCAGGGAACACCCAUUGGGAGAACCCAGAGACAUUUGAGCAAACCCAAGAGAUGGAGGCAGGAGGAGUAGUUGAUAGGGAGAUGUUGGAUAGACAAAUGGAAGUGAACGGGGAUUCUUGAAUACCAGUGAAGCUUCCAGCAAUGGUUAUGUUUGUGCCGAUCACAUUCUGCAAGGUGAUGUGAUCCAAGACAGGGAGUGCAUUGGGGUCAAAAUGGUCAUCUGGGUGGGAGCCGAUUUGGCCUGUUGCACUGAAGGCUGUGUGGAUGUUUUCCAUUGCGACAUCUGAUAUGAUGAUUUCUUGGAUAUAACCACCUCUUCCCUUGGUAGUUCUGAACUCGAUGCCACUGAAUGAGUUGUAUAGGUGGACCUGCUCCACACAGACGUUAGAAAUGCCACCAGACAUCUCACUACCGAAGGCCAGGGAAGAGCCAGAUGAUGAUUGAAGGUUGACCCGUCUGAUGUGUACAUUUGUGGUGGGUCUACCAUAGGCAAUGCCAUAUUCAUCCCAGCCACUCUUGAGUGCAAUGGCAUCAUGGCCCAUGGCAAUGCUGCAAUCCUCUAUGCAGGUGCUAUCUGAAGAAUCUGAAAUCAAAACAUUAUACAAAGUUGACUUAGCAAAAUUCUUUUCAUGACUGAACCCUUCCUGAACAUAGAAAAAAGUAAAAUUAUAAUCUACAUGAACCACUAAACAAACCACAGGUAACAACCUGUUUCCUCUUUCAACAAAUAUCCCUAUCAAUAUACUUAAACAUUCAUAUAUACAUUAAAAACUAAUAUAGAUUUUCAGAAAUAUCUUACCAAUCGGAAGAGGGUUCAAACAAUAAACAAAGACAAAACAAUUCUAGCACUGAUAAUUAAAGAUCCAAAAGUUUAUCAAAUUUAGUAAAAAGAAACAGACCAAAACCUACAAAAUUAUUGUUAAACAAGUGAAAAACAAAACAUUAAAUUAUCUAUUAUCACUCUUGGAGACUGACGGUAUGAAAAUAAGUUCAAAUGCCUCAGAUUCCUUCACCUCCAUUCUUAAUUCCUAGCCUCUUCAACAACCAAGUUUCAAGUACCUUAAUUCGUCCAUCUCCAGAACUGAUAGCAAAGAAGUCCAAAGAAGGGGUAAAGGUUGUUAAUAAAUCUCGGAUAUUCGAUGGGCCCAUGGUCCUGUAUCAAAAGAAUAAAUUAAAUGUCAAAGUCCUUACAAUUCAUAAUUUACAAAUUAGAAAUGAAAUUGUAGAUAUACGAGAGGUGUUCCAAGACGUUAUUAAGGGAGAUUGACUGUAACUGCCUAUUGAUAAAGAAACAAAACAACUUACCAUGACGAAAAUAAUAUAGCUCAAAAUCACAGUAGGAAGUGCCAAAAAAAGGUGGCAAUCCUCUGAAACAUAUGAUGAAGAAGAUAUAAAAAAAUAUAUAAGAAAGACACAGCAUUAAAAAUUUUAAAGCUCGCCAAUAUGUUGCCAAUCCAGUAAAUCAUUUCAUUAACUAAACUGAUUCAGCACUUAAGCUCUAAUAACCUUUGUUUGGUAGCCGAGAAAAUGGAAGAGAAGGAGGAAAAAAAUGCAAUAUCAUGCUAUCUGUUACUGAAUCAAGCCAAACAAUUCAGUUAAACUUGGCUGAACAGCAGUUUUAGCUUUCUUAGCCUGAAUAACGAAAAUUCAAGAUUUUAUCUAUUUUACUUUCCUGCAUUUUCUCAGCUUCCCGGUUUGUCUACGGACAAACUAGAGGAAAAUAAAAUAAAAAAUAAAAAGAAAACUAAAACCAGGUAUUUUCAGUUGUUCUCCAUAAAAAGCAAACGAAAAAUCAACAGAACUAAAUCCUGAGCAAUUACCGAUCCGGCUCAGGCUGAAUUUCCGGUUCUCUUAGAAAAUAUUAUAUAGCAGUUCCAAUAAGGGACCGUCGUGCAUCAUUAUACUAAUUUUCCUCCGUUUUUCGGCAACCAAACAGAGGAUAAACUUGUUUUGAGGAGAAGAUGCACGCUUACCUGUUUUGGCGACCGGCGGCGGCGAGAUGCAAAGAAAAAGAGAGAACGAGAGAGGGGUUUUACCUGUUUUGGCGACCGGCAGCGGCUAGAAGCAAAGAAAAAGAGAGAACGAGAGUGGGGUUUUAGGAACGCAGCCGCGUAGCUGCUCAUUUCGCAAGGGCCCCUUUUUUAUUUCUUUUUCUUUUUUUUCAAUUUUAGGAUUUUUCAUUUUAGCCUCCAUAUUUGAGUGUAUUUAGAUUUGUGGAACCUGUUUUGGGGCUUUUUGUUAGGUACAAUUGAGAUGGGCUGAACCGAAAAGCCCGCCAGGAUGAACAACAUUAAUGGGCCUGAAUUUUAAACCUAUGAAUGGGCUUUAUACUGGAUUCAGCUGUCUGAGCCCAAUGAGUAUUGAAUGUGUUUCUGUAUAAAAUUAAACUUUUAACAUUGAAAUAUGAGGACUUACUUAAAAACACAUUUGGUAACUUUUUUUUUUGGUUAAUAAUGGACUUUAAGAAAAAAUUAAAAAUAUAUUAUUUUUUAGAAUAAAUUUGAGGCAUGUUUAGGUAUUUUUUGUGGUAAAGAGUUUUGAGAAGCAAUAGAAAAUAUAUAGAAUACUUUAAAAACUUUUGCAUAAGAUACUUACUUACACGAGGCUUUCAUGAAAAAUAAAUCGAUAAAAACAAUUUUCAUAUUUGAAUUGCGAAACAUAAAACAACUCAAAACUGUUUUUAAGCAUUGUUCUUAAAAAUAGUUUUCUAUUAAGUCACAAUCAAGGAAGCUUUUAUCUUUUAUUUUUCUAUGUUUCAUCCUUGCAUAAAGGGAGUAUAAAGACUAAAGUUAAUCUAAUUAACAAAUUUGGAUAAUCAUCCAAUAAAUGAGUAAAUUAGGUGAUGAUCUCUUUAUAUAUGCAAGUAAUGGAAUGAAUGUGAUGAAAAAUAGAAAAAAGUAAGGGGAGAAAUGUUGUAAAUAAAGUGUUUUUAUUGUGGUUCAAUGACCAAUCCACUUCCACACCUUGACAUAUUUCACAAUUUUAAAAGUUUUCUUAAUCAUGAUUCUCCUUAUUAUUUUUUAAGUCCGGAUUUCUUAAGUUUCAAUAGACUUUUACAAUCACUAAGAUGGUGUUUAUUUUUUCACUUAAUUCUAAAUAUAAGUUAAAACUAAAUAAUAUUUAAUAAUAUCAAGUAUUAGGUUGUUUUUUUUUAUAACAUUUUAUUUUUAUAUAAUAUUAAAAAGUAAAGAAAAAUCAAUAUGUUAUUUUUUUCAUUUAAAAAAAGACAAAUAUUUUGCCUUUUUUUUAAGCUAAAAAUUUAUAAUAAAAAAAAAAAAGCAAACAAUUUAAAGUGUAAAACAGAUUGUUUUCAACAAAAAUUUAAAAAAACAAACACUUUCUAAAUAAGAUUCCUUAGCCACUUGUACAAUGGCUUCUUUAAGCACAAAAUGUAAUAAAUGAAUACAACUCUGGUGAAAUGACUAAAGUGCUCACAAUGAGAAGAUAAACAAGUUUGGAUUCAAUAUAAUUUUGGGUUAUCUAAUUAAAAUGGUCAUUGAAAACCCAAUUUUGGAAAUAUAACCCUUCGUCAUUUUUUUACCUCAUUUUAACAAAAAAAAGCUCUUAUUAUUUUCCUAUAAAAAUAAUCAUUCCUUUUAAAACACACUAUAAAUACUUCAAAUAGCCCAAGGUUUUUAUGUAAAAAAAAAUGAAUUACUCUUCAAAUAAAAAUAUUGGAGGGAAUAAAUUCACAAAUAUGGGUAUUUCAUCUCUUUUAACUAAUUAUUUCUAUAAUUUUAAGAGUUUAAGAAGGCUAGACAAAGACUAAUUAUUGGACUUUUUUUUUUAUAAUCAAUGGAAGACAGGAAUACAAUCGACUACUUUGAUCAAUUAAGCAAUUAUACAGUUGACAAUAAACUAGUCGUUAGACAUUUUUUUUUAUAAUAAUUGGAAGACAUGAAUACAAUCGAUUACUUUGGUCAAUUAAUCAAUUAUUUAAGAAAUUUAAAAAAAUAUUGGAUAAAAGAUAUAUAUAUAUAUAACGAAUUAUUUCAAAUUGAAACUUAAGAUCAGAAAUCGUGCUUUUAAUGUUGAAAAAUCAUGUAAAACACAAGUUUUUAUCUUUGAAGUAAUCAAUUCAUUUUUCACAAAAAAUCAUUAAUAAUACAUUAAUGAAUUCUUUUAAAAAAUCUUAUAAAAAAUGUGAUUAUUUUUCAUUCCCAAAUACUUAGGUUCUAAAGGUCAAUUUUAAAGCAUACUUAUCCUUACUAUGCCUUACAAGAAAAUCUAUUCUAUACAUAUGAUUUUGUAAAAAAGUGUAAAUAAAAAAAAUAAAAAAUAAAAAAUAAAAAAUAAAAAAAACCUCUCUUGUUUUCCUCUUUUGAUUGGAUAUCAUUAUUAUACUUAAAAUUAAAUAUUUAAUCAAAAUAUUAUUUUACUAUCAUCAAAAUUUAGAUUUAACCAAACUUUAGGCUAGUAUGUUGAUAUGACAAGUUAAUUUUCUAUCUUAAAGUUUUAAAAACUUUUGAAAUUAAACAUUUUCUUACACAUUUAUUUUUAAAGUUUUUAGCAUAAAAUUUAAAAUUAAAGCUUUUAAGGAAAAACCUCAUAAUACAAUAUACUAGAAAGACAUGGUCAAACAGAUAGAGAGGAAGCCUCGAAAGGAAGGGGCAAUGGUUGAACCACUUGACAUUGUUGCCUACUACUAAGAUGGUGUAAGAAACAACAUAACCAAUGGAACAUAUGCACAUUAAACAUUGUAUAAUUAUUAUAAAUGUCUUAUACAUUAUAUGUGAAAAUACGAAAAAAAAAAUAAAAUAAAAUUAUAUUCAACAUUUAUAUUUGUAUACAAACAAUAUUUUCAAUACUUUGAUAUAAAAAACAAAUUAAAAAAAUGAAGAAAAACAUAUAAAUAUAUUUACAAUGGACAAACUUAUUCAAUUAGUAUAAAUAUCUUGUAUAUUUAAUACAAAUACCUUAUACUUUGUGAAAAUGUAAAAAUAUAGUAUUUGAUAUUGAUACAUGUGGGUAAGUAAUUUUUCUAAUGGUUUGAUUUAAAAAACAAAUAAUGAGAAUCAAGAAAAACAUGCAAAUAAAUUAGUGUGAAUGAUAAAGGGUGUUUUUUACCAUAAAUUUUUAUGGACUUAGCAUCAAUUAUGCAUCUAUAGAUGUUAACCCAAUUAGCAUAAUGUGAAAACCCUUACACACAAUAUAUAAACCCUAUACUUGAAUUAGGAAGGACAAAAAAAAAAAUAGUUAGAGCAUUUGGUACCAUCAAUGAUGACUUCACCUAAAGAAAAGUUAAUGAACAUUAUGUUCUCAAUGGAAGAGCAACCCUAGUAGGACAUAUGGAGUAAAUUGAUGCUCUUCUUUCGACAACGAAGUAGCUAAGUCAUGAAAAUGGGGUUUUGCUAACAACAUUAAAUGCAAGAAUUCCCCAAUAUACUGCAAUUCAUAUUCAAUUCAUAGACUUUCAACUAACUACUCUCAAUAACGAGCAAACCCAAGUCAAUACAUAAGAUUGAUUAUUACUUAUGAUAAUUGAAACCCUAAUUAAUAAAUAAGGACACAAAUAUAUGUAUAUAUAUAUAUAUAUAUAUAUAUAUAUAUAUAAAAUAGAGACAAUUGUGUUUUGGACCCAGGUGGAUCAAAAAUUAAGGUUUGGUUCAUAAAACUUACAUAAUUGAUGGAAAUGAUAUAAGUUAUCAAAAUACCAAAAUACUCAUUGAUCUUUCACGUAAGCUUUUUUUGUCUUUAUUGCACCACUAUUCAUGCAACCAUAAUAAUUCUAUUUUAACUAUUUGGAUUUUUCAUUAUUUUUUAAAACUUUUUUUUUAUAAAUAAUUGAAAAUCAACAUUAUUUUCUAUUUUAAAUUAUAAAUAAAGAAAAAUUACGUUCAAAAACUAUUUUAAAAAAUAAUUUCUAAAAAAAUGGUAAUAUGAUUUAUAUUUUUUAUAUUUUCUUUUAGAAAAAAAUAUUUAAUUAAAAAAUGAAAAAUAUUUUUCAAAAUAAAAAUUGAAAACCUUGUUUAGUACUAUUUUUUUAUAUGAAAAUAAUAAAAAUAAUUAAUUUAUUAUCCAUUCAAUUUUAUAUGAAAAUUUUUUAUAAGAGUAAAAAGAUUCAAUAUCUUUAAUAAAAGAAAAAAAAAACAAAACAAAAAGUUAGAAAUAAGUAAUACUUAAUUAGGAAUAGAAAAAGGGAAAAAUUUUGAAAUUUACACUCACUAUAUGCCUAUGUAGGGAUUAAAGGUAUUUUAUGAAUUAAUGAAGGAUAAUAUUUUUUAACUUAAUUUUUACAAUUUAUUUGGGUCUUGGGCUUAAAUGUGAAUGAUAUAUGGAUCUUUAGUCAAUUUUUGGGCCCAUCCGGGCCCAAAACACAAUUCUCCCUAAAAAACUAUUUAUUAAAAUCAAUAAACUAAUAAAAACCAUUUAGAGAGUUUCAUAACUUAGUGUCGAAGCUAUUGUAAGAAAUAAGUAUUAUAUAAUGUAGAGUUUAGGUUUAAAGUCUACCUAAGAUUAAAUUUAAGUCUUAAGACAAAUUCACAUUCAAAACUAGGUUUUUAAGUUAGAAAAAUAGAUCUCUUAAACCAAUUAAAUGGUAAAAAAAAUUACAAAGAAAAUUUCUCUUGCUGGUUUCUUCAUCUUGAAAACUAACGGAAACAUAUAUCAAUAUUUGGUAUGAAAAUUCGUAACCUUAGAAACACAGCUUUGGGUCUUGCUGAGAAAAACAAAGCUUAUUUGCUCGUAGACCAUCCUGGUGGUCAUCAUACCGUGUGAGAACCGGGGAAGCAUCUUUUCUCGUAGACCGGCUUUUGUAGUCUUUCUUUAACAAUUACAAGUUGUCAGGAUUCCCUUCAUCCUCCUAUAUAAUAUUGUUUUUGGUCUUGUUCUGGUUGUAUCUCCGUGGAAGAAAGGAAGAUGAAUCAAGUUCCUUUGUAAGUAUCAAUGUCUCUGAUUCAUUUUUUGGUUCCUAGAAUCGAAUCCUCGCUUUGUUCUUGCUUAAUUUCUCCUUUUUCUGUUGGGUCUUUCACUGCAGGUUUAGCUCUGCACGGGAACUGGCAAAUUUGGUGCUGAGCUCCAAUCUAAUCGACUGUGCUUUGACCAAAAUUCUUGAACUUAACAGAGACCAAACAGCCUUGCCUGUUCAAUACAGACUUUUUCAACUGUCUUCCAAGUGCACAAUUGUAGCUUUUGUCUCUUCACCUGACUGCACUCAAUACCCUCUUCCUGGACAAGGAGAUUUAGAUCGGUCUCCUCUCUUUGACUUCCUCCGUACCGAAGAAUACCCGUCCGUCUCCAUUAACAGAGCAGCAUUAACCCUCUAUACCCCUCUCCAUGAUCAUCUCUCUGGACUAACAGAUGAGGUCAAAAUCUGAUACUUGUUUGAAUUUUCGUUUCCUUUUCGUUAACAAUUGUGAGACACGAAACAGCUUGACCAUGAGAUCUCCCUCAUGGAGUCGAACUACCUGAAGGAUAAGACGUCACACAUAUCCAUUUUCAUGGCAUCGUCACAUGACCCAUUGAUCGGUUGUGAUUCAACUCUUAACAGGAAUACAGUAGAACUGGUGUUGGUAUCUGUCUUUAGAUAAGCUUGCAUAUAUCUUGUCACUGAAAAAGGAAUGUUCAGAAGUGAGAUUAGUGGCAUUAUUCUGACAUGGAUUUCAUAUGGUUACUUGUUUUGCAGUUGACUCAGAUUGAAGGUCAGUUAAUCAUCACUGGGUACUCCCUGGGAGGAUCCGUUGCUUCUCUCUUCAC